rnacentral:rRNA from 1 species
AUCUAAUCCUGUUUGCUCCCCACGCUUUCGCACCUGAGCGUCAGUCUUUGUCCAGGGGGCCGCCUUCGCCACCGGUAUUCCUCCAGAUCUCUACGCAUUUCACCGCUACACCUGGAAUUCUACCCCCCUCUACAAGACUCAAGCCUGCCAGUUUCGAAUGCAGUUCCCAGGUUGAGCCCGGGGAUUUCACAUCCGACUUGACAGACCGCCUGCGUGCGCUUUACGCCCAGUAAUUCCGAUUAACGCUUGCACCCUCCGUAUUACCGCGGCUGCUGGCACGGAGUUAGCCGGUGCUUCUUCUGCGGGUAACGUCAAUUGCUGCGGUUAUUAACCACAACACCUUCCUCCCCGCUGAAAGUACUUUACAACCCGAAGGCCUUCUUCAUACACGCGGCAUGGCUGCAUCAGGCUUGCGCCCAUUGUGCAAUAUUCCCCACUGCUGCCUCCCGUAGGAGUCUGGACCGUGUCUCAGUUCCAGUGUGGCUGGUCAUCCUCUCAGACCAGCUAGGGAUCGUCGCCUUGGUGAGCCGUUACCUCACCAACAAGCUAAUCCCAUCUGGGCACAUCUGAUGGCAAGAGGCCCGAAGGUCCCCCUCUUUGGUCUUGCGACGUUAUGCGGUAUUAGCCACCGUUUCCAGUAGUUAUCCCCCUCCAUCAGGCAGUUUCCCAGACAUUACUCACCCGUCCGCCACUCGUCAGCAAAGCAGCAAGCUGCUUCCUGUUACCGUUCGACUUGCAUGUGUUAGGCCUGCCGCCAGCGUUCAAUCUGAGCCAUGAUCAAACUCUUCAAUUUAAAAGUUUGAUGCUCAAUGAAUUAAACUUCGUAAUGAAUUACGUGUUCACUCUUGAGACUUGGUAUUCAUUUUUCGUC